CCCGUACCUGUCUCUCUCUCUUCCCUCACGACUCUCUCUCACUCUCAGUUCUCUCUCUCUUCCUCUCCGACGCUCAACCUCACCCAAAACCACCUAAAACAUAAACAAACGUCCAAGGUAAGACCACAUUUGGACUCCUGGAACUUCCACGAUCACGUAGACAUCAAUUUCAGGGAAAUCUAAGCUCACAGGGAGCUCUAGGAGGUUCCCACGAAAGCUCGAGUGCUUCGUUGGAAGUUUUUGACGAAAGAACACGGAGAUCGACGAGUUCAAAGUUUGGCCGGAGCUUUCGAGGCAUUUUCCGGCGAAUCCCCGGCGAGUUAGGAGUCGAGUUUCCGGCGACCUCCG